rnacentral:rRNA from 1 species
UACGGGGGGGGCAAGCGUUGUUCGGAAUUACUGGGCGUAAAGGGCGCGUAGGCGGGAUGGCAAGUCGGUCGUGAAAUCCCUCGGCUCAACUGAGGAUCGUCGAUCGAUACUGCCGUUCUUGAGGAUUGCAGAGGAGACUGGAAUUCACAGUGGAGCAGUGAAAUGCGUAGAUAUUGUGAGGAACACUAGUGGCGAAGGCGAAUCUCUGGACAGUUCCUGACGCUGAGGCACGAAGGCCAGGGGAGCAAACGGG